rnacentral:lncRNA from 1 species
GCAAAACAGUCGACGUGUCAGGGUUCUUGCUUUUGCCUCGUUCCUUCUAUCCGCGCCUCACUCCUCGCGCGCCCACCGCUCGCGAAGGAAGACUCAUCUCCCGCCCUCUCUGAGUCACUCGGAGGGCGAGGCACGCGGAAGGGCGUCACCCGGGAUCUCCGCGGCCCGGGGGCGUGCGGUCUCCCAGGAGGUCACAGCUUCUUUGAACGUUUGCUAUCCGGCCCUGUCAGAUCUUCUGAACUAGGUCAGCGUCCCACCGAGUGCCGCCAUCCGAGCCGCUUCGCGUUCCGUCGCCGACAUGUUCGCCGUCGUCGCGAGGAGGGCUCUGGGCAACGCCGCGCGCAACGCCGCGUCCCCUGCCGCGCCCGCCCCCGGGUGGGUCGCGGCGGACCCAAUCCUGGGGGCGCUCGCGUCGACCUUGUCGCGUGACGCUGGGGCGAGCACGUGGACCGCGGCGCGCGCGGCGCUCGCCGCCUCACGCCGCGGGCUGCUCGAUACCAGCAUCCCACGUACGACUGCGGCGGAUGCCGUUCGCAAGGAGCUGCUAGCCAUGAGGCGCGCCUUCUGCGCGGAGGCGCCGAAGAAGCCGGGCAACUCCGGUUGGGAGAAUUUCCAGCCGAAGGGUGGCAAGCCGGCUAAGCCCUCUAAGCCGGGCGACCCCGAGGCGGCGGGCGCGGGCAAAGCCGCCCAAGAGGCCGCGAAAGAAGCGUCCAAGGGAUCGGGUUCCUCGUCCGGCGGCGGCGGCGGCGGGUG